AGAAAUGUCCAUGAUAAAACAAAUGAAAAUGUCUGUAGUGCUUAAUUUAAGAAUUUAUGAAACUCGAGCUUCUGAGUCGUCGUCCAUUCCUAGGUCGGAGGAUUACCUGAAACAAAGCAUACAAACCAUGAGCUUUAAUCCCAGUGUGUGUUUUAACCCAUAAUCUCAGUACAAGCAAACACAUAAUUCAGCUCGUCUUAGAAAAUGUUUUAGAAAUUAAAUAAAUGAGAUAGCAGAAAUAAACAAUUAUAUUAAUUGAAAACAAAAUCAAAUAUGGAAGUGAUUUGAAUUUUGUAAACAGAAAUAUAAAACCUUAGCCUUAGACUCAGUGAAUUUCGAUCUUCAAAACAUUGAUAAUUAAUAUUCUUUUCCAAACCAUAACUCAGUUAUAGAGAUUAAGAAUAUCCUAAUCGCCAAUUUUUCCUUUCGUAGUUGAUUCCGAUACGACCUGCAAAUCAACCCUUACUGAUUGUCUAAUUGCAAUACCACGCGUUCGCAAUUCAAAACCUCAGUAGCCUUACAUUCUGAAGAACCCAACUCAGAUUAACAGCCUCAACCGCGUAAGACGUUUAAAUAUGAUCACUGCGCAAGAUGUUUAAAUCUGAUCACUAUCUCCCUUGAUAAAAAUCUCACUAGGAUGACCCUGCCAGACAAGCCAAUUUGUUCACAAGAAUCCAAAUACAACAUGGCUGACUCGUCUUCCCAACUGUAUGCCAAAAUGACUCUAAACCAACGUGCACUUUGUGUUGAAAUCAAAUUAACUUUAAGGGGCGGCUUCGUACUAUCCCAUAUUCCGGAGAAAUGGUGAAUACUGUUAUGAAAGAUUUUUUAAUACGGAUUCAUUUCUCACGAUUCUUGACCAAAAAGAAUAUCGGUCUAAAGCUAAGUUGGAAGUUUAAUGAAGCAUGAAACUAAUCAUUCUUGGUUGGUGUAUGGAAAUGGUGAAAAAUGGAAAGGGAAAGGGACUUGGGAAGUAAUUAAACAAAUUUGUAAAAGCAAAGAAAUAUGAAAUGAAAAAAAAAAUACAGAAUGCUUAUGAAAAAGGUGGCUACUGACACAUGAAAUGGAAAGGAAAAAAAAUUCAAUUCUAUUUUCAAGUAUUCAAUGUGUGUUUUUUCAGGUCCAUCAUAUAUCCUAUUUAUACACAAACCAUAUACUAAAAUUAGCUAACCCAUCUACCUCCUAAUUAUAUGAAAUAAAAUAUCAAAUUUCUUUUCUAAAUAUGGCUUUUACAAAGUCAAAAAAUCUGAUUAGCCUUUAAAUGUCUCCAAAAUUUUCAUUUGGCCCCUCUUCUAUUGCUCAUGUUCCACUUUAAUCCUUUUCUGCUUGUCUUUGAAUUAAAAACAUCUUAAUUUCAUUCCUAACUAAAUUUAAACACAAAAUCACCAAUUUAACAAGAAUUAUUUCAAGAAUUAAUUGAUUUGAACACAUAAAAUAUUAAAAAAAAAAACAUGCUAUCAUCCAUCCAUCCAAUCACACUAAUAGGUGGCGGUGUGCCACUCAUAUAAUUGCAGCUGAGCUGCCAUACAUAAAUUUGCGGUCUAGCCGCCAUAAUUGCAGUAUAAAUUGCCAUAUAACACUUCCUUUAUCAUAUCAUAACCCACCCUGAAACACAAACAAACCAUAAUCAUAUAAAUAUAUAUAUCAUACUUACAUAUAUCAUAAACCAUACAUCAUGCAUACUUACAUAUUUACAUAAAAUCAUAAAAUAACACAUGAUUUAAUGGUAACAUUUCCUACUUAACAUACUUCUUAAGCUUAUCCAUAUACUUUUACGUACUUGAACUUAGGCCUUUCUGACCCCAUAUGAUGCCUACAAACCCAAAUUUUGAGUCCCUCAAAUAGCCCCUAACCAAGCCCUAAAAUUGGGCAAAAAGGCCCACACGGCCCAAAAAGCCAGCCUGUUGGUCCACACGAUCUACAAAAAAUCACACAUGGUAGUGUGUCCCACACAACCUACCCACAUGGCCUGUAAAAGCUACACACACACACGGCCUACCACAUAGUCGUGCGGCAACACACAGUCAGUCACGCAACCUGCACACACCACUGUGUGACACUUGACAAUUUCGAAAAACAGCCCAGUUUAGUGAUUAAAUCAAGUUUUUGGGUCGAAUUCACACACUUGAUAGCGAGAUUGAUCCACCACACAACUGAACACUUAAAACCCUACAAACGGCAUCAAAACUAAAUGUUUAUGACUUCGAUUUAGCACAAAGAUUUCCACUUAAAUUCACUCUUUUCUCAAGAAAACAAUCCCUAAAUCAAUAACGAGCACUUACGACAACUUGCAGCAACUCCUCCAAGAACUUAAUUUGCUGGAGGAUCGUUUAUCACCACACACUAUUCUCCUAAAACGAAAGAUUCCAUAAUAAAUAAAAUUUCAUCAUAAGGAAAAUCCAAGUCAAUCCCCAAAGCCUUUAAUACUAGACGGUCUUAAAUCACGAAAUACCAUAUCCAACAAUUAAAUAACUAAAUCAAAACCCCGAAUUACUCACGACAAGUAAAGAACCCAAAACUCACCAAUAACACCCUACAAGAUCAGCGUCCGAAUGGCCCUUAAGCAACGAACAAGAAAUUGCCCACGAAAUUAAAGAACCAACAAAAUAGAAAUGAAAAGAACAAGAGAAAGAAAGAAUAAUCUUGACAGAUGCCGCAAGAACAAG
rnacentral:lncRNA from 1 species